UUUUUUUUUUGUGUGUGUGGAGGGACAUGGGUUAUUUUUUAUGCUGAACAUUUGAUAGAGAUCUAAUUUGUCAAUUCUCACAAAAUGAAGUGAGUUAAUCAAUACAGUGUUUACUCAGUUCUUGAAUAUUGAAAUCCAAGGUGGGAGAUGAAUGGGCUUACUACUAAUACAAAUAAAUGCCAAUGGAUGUUAGUCCUAAUAUAGAGGUGAUGCAGUGCAAAUAAAAUGCCUCCCAUGAGAAUAUAUAAAAAAAGGUGGAACCAACCAUAAGCAUUUGCUCUAAUCUUUUUGCUUCCUGCCGUAUUGCCACCAGGGCAGCUGCCGCAGCAGCCGAUUCGGCCUCCUUUUUUGUAGCAUAGUCUUGCAGACUUCCAAAUGUCCGCCCAUCUAUGGUCACUGUUGACUUGAAGAUAGGUUCAUGAUGUGGACCACUCUGAGCGGUGUUAUACAAAGGUAAAUCUUUCCGUAGUUCUUGAGCAUAAUUUCGCAACUGUGACUUGUAAGGAAGAUGGAUUUCUGCAAUAGAUAAAUUAGUGAGUACCACAAAUAUAGAAGAAACAUGUCUGAAAGAACAUCAUGAACAUUUUUAGUGGCAGGAAUAAAAACAUGACAACGGCAUGAUAGACGCAAAAAAAUUAAAUCAAUUUUUGUCACGAGGGGCAUUUGUAUAACUACAUAGGUAGUAAAGGCCAAUCAAGAGAACAGAAAAAACAAAAGAAUAAUUUUCAAUGGUAGCCAAUAAGCUAUCCAUUUAUACUAGGCGGUCUCUCAGUAGCUAGCAAUCAAAACAGGUUAAACCUUCAUUUGACAGUUGACACCACUGUUGAAGCAGGCCCAGAUGAAAAGACAAGAAAACUAAUUCAUCUUGUAAUGUGGACAUGAACUUCCCGGCAAAAAAAUUAAUGUGGACAUGAACUGCUGCUAUAAUGCACUUUUUCAAUGCUGUUAUAUUAUAGCUGCUGUUAUGUUUUUGUGGUGCAUUACAAGUAGUAUACGAUAUCGUGUCUAAUCCAUUUCGUGGUUUCCUUUGGCAUGCAGUGCGCUCUACUCCUAGUAGUGAUUGCAUGCUGGCGUUCACUUGAUCAUUGACGACGAUAUCACUCCUCUUGAAUGGGCUCUUCUCCUCCUAAGUCUAAGGGAACCGACUUUCAGAACUGCUUAGUGUCAGUGCAUGAAGCUGCGUACUGUUAAGGACUUCGUUUCGGCAACGUAACCCACUUUUAUAUGUAUAGAGUCUGUGCAAGGGCUCGGCAAAGUAACCCAUUUGUAUGUAUAGAAUCUGGAUGUAGUUUUAACAAGUCGGAUCUUGCUGUGAUCUUGUAGAGCAUGGCGAGGCGGAUCGCGGAUCACGUUCUGGCGUGUGCUUCGGCAGCCGACUGACGAGCAGCACGCCUCAUACAUCUGGAUCUUGAAGAAACGAGAUAUAUCUAGGGCGCAUACGUACUAACCGGACAAUAGCUGCGGAGGAGCGGAGUGGCGCUCGAACGCUGCCCUGGCAGCGAGCAGAGCAGCGACGGCGCAUGCAUGAACAAAACGAGAUCUAUCUAGGGCGCAUACAUACUCACCGGUCAGUAGUUGCGGAGGUGCGGAGGGGUGCUCCAACGCUGCCCUGGCGGCGAGGUCCUCCAAAGCUGCCCUUGCGGCGAGGUCCUGCGCCUGGAUGAGCUUUCGGGACCCGGGCUCCGGCGAGCUGAACUCAGCGCUGCCGACGGCGACGGUGGAAUGGAACCUUGACACGUGUAGGCAGGCGUCGCCCACCGCCGCUCCUGGCACACGUUGUUCAGACGGAGCUUGUACAUCGUCGAUGGCGUCGCGUAGGAGGCGGCUGGAUUGGACACGCGGAACGGGGAUUGAAGCUGGGCAGGCAAGGGUUUCCUCGGGGCCUCGAUCUGAUCUGCGUUCCGGCCGGCGUCGUGUGAACUAAUUUGUUAGUUUGCUGACAGCUUUCCAGAGGGUGCUGUUCACUGUUGAACGCAGGCUGGGUGCUCUAAAUUCCAAUUAAUGCCGUAAAAAUGGAAGACUUUUAUUUUUUACGUUUCCCAUUUUUAAUGCUUUCCUUUAGCACUUCCAAAUACGUAUCUCAGUACUGGCUUUCCUUUUAGUAGUAUUUCCAGAAUUUCGUGAUUUUCAAUGGACAGGAAUAUUUUUUUGGGAUAUGGUUCCACACACGCACCCGUUAUGAAUUAAUAGUACAUUCAGGAAAAAUAAACUGGAAAAAAUUGAAAAAUAAUACAAACUUUUUUUAGCAUACAUUGUUAACCACUCUACUUGCAUAUGAAAUUUCACAAUGAAAUGAUACCCAUUGCAUUCAGCGCAAAAAUGACAAAAUCAAAGCUAUAUUUGUGUGUGUAAACUUUCCCCUCUCCCUCUUGGGCCGCUCAUGCGGCGGCUCCGAGGCAAACCUUAUCCCCGCAAGUCCCUCCUCCCCGUGAUACCACCAGUGGCGGUUGCAGUGGUGGCGUUAGGUGUGGCCGUUGCUCCUUGACCAGUCUCCCUUGCACGGGGGAGCGGCGUCAAGCGAGGGGUGCAGGUAUCCUUUCCGGUGUCGUGGCGCACAAUGGGGUGCGCUCAAAUCAUGGUCAUGAGCUCGCAGUCGUGGCGUGGAUGGGCUACGAUUGCAACAAUGCGGAGGCGCUCGUCCAAGUGAUGCUACACAAGCGGUGAUCGGGCAAUGGUUGUGGUCGGUGGUGCCUCUGUUGCCUAAGAUGUGAUGCCAGUGUGGUAGACGAAGGCGGCAGCGUGAACCGGAUCUAGGUCCAUCCUGGGCCCGAUUUGUGUCCCAGGGUCGUAGUCGUUGUGAGGCUGUCUGCUUAAGUGGAGUGACUAGUUGCUUCUUGCAGUGCCGACGACCUUGGUUGUGUUGGAGAUGGAGGUUGGGCUGGUGCUGCUAGUUCUCGGCAGUGCAGGAGGUGGAAGAUGGCCUGUAUUUCCUUGGUCGUGCGGCGUGUGUGUGUGUUCUGCGGUUUGGUUAUGAUGGUCAGGUGCUUGAGCGGCAGCGGAGUGACCCAACAUGGACAGUAUGGCCGCAAUGUGAUGGGAAGGGUGGAAUGUGUGCAAUGUUACUAUGAACAUGAUGCCCGACUUCGGUCGGUGCUGGCAGCGAUGUUGCCUGUGGGUGUUGUUCCUCUCCUUUGAGGCAUCGCUGAGGUGUCUUAGCAUCUCCACCUCCUUGCUUGGGUUUAUCUCCGGGUGAAAGCCUGGGUCUGUUAAUGGAUCUGUGAUGGUGGCAUCUUGUCGUUGUUACUUUGUUUGGAGUAUCGUGUGUGGAGACAUGCCUUGGAGAUUAUGUGUUGUAGUUCUCAGGUACUUGCCUCUGGUUUGAGUUGAUCUUCAUGGGCGCUAUCUACCCAGCUGCCGGUGAGUCCAAGAUGAUUGCUUUCUCGGGUCCGACUGAGUCUAGCUACCCACUUGUCGUCUCCUCUUAGACAUUUGAAGGGUGGUUGGUGCGUCGACAAGGGAAGUUUGGUUGAAAUUGUUGCUGUUUGAGUUGACCGGUAUUGGUCGAGAUGCGGCUUUAUGAUCUAUUUAGAGCAGGACCUUUACGUUGUGUUUGUAAUGGUUGUGGUGGCUAAUGUUUUGAUUAGCAGAGGCGUGGAGUUUCAACUACAUUUGUUGUUUGCAUCAAGUUGUUGUCUCUUGUAAUGGUCUUCUGUCUUCUAUAAAAUAUGUUACGCCUAGGCGUACUCUCGAAAAAAUAUAUAUUUCAUUAUACUGUUUGAAAGAAUAGUAAUAUCAGAUAGGCUUUUUUUCACUAUGGAAUAACCCAGUGUCGUUCCUUCAGGAAACUCCAUACAUGAGUAGAAUGGUCGACCAAGCUUGAUAGCCCAAAUUUCAGAAUUUCUUCAAAAAAAAUUGAAUUUACUAAUCACGUGGGUGCGCGUGGAACCAUGUUCAUCUGUGUAUUUUUUGAUUUCCAGUCGCUUAGAAGCUUUGAACAUUCUUUUUUACAAUUUCUACUUUGGAAUUCAGCUUUCAGGUUUGAACAUUUUGGGAGAUUUUGAACCUUCAGAACUUCAAAUUUUAGAAGUUUCAACCUCUUUAAGUUUUUCCCAAACACCCAAAUUUUGGAAUUCAAGAAAAGAAAAAUCCAAGAAGAAAAGUGAAUAAUGUGCCAUGUGGGUGGGCACCCCUACCCAGUACUUGUGCGCAUGUAGCGCCUUUUGCCGCGUACCCGUGACGAUCCACAUGGUUUCCCCCGCCCCCUCUCUAACCGGACAACAACCUCCCCGACAUGCCGACAGGACGAUUACCCUCUGUGUGCGUGUUCCGUGCAUGCGUAGGGAUCAAGUAGGAGAUGGUUUGGUCUAACCAACCAGUCAAUCGACAAUACACAUCCAAUAUUGCCACCGCUGAAUUUAGAUAAGCCAUAGAAAAACAUGUAAAUGAUUGUCACCACCACAUGCAUUAUUCAUCUUUCGAUAGACAAUGAGUGAGCAGCUUGGCUGACUAUUCUCAUGGAAGAUUGUGUCGUCCUGCCGAAAUUUCUCUAGAGAGGGAGGGGCAUUAGGUUUUCACGAGCACCCGGAAAAUAACGCCAAAAAGGUAAUUUGCUCUUAGUGGUUAACUAAAUAUUAUAAAUUUAUGAAGACAAUGAAAGGUCUUUAACAUGUCAAUUAUCCCUAGUCUCAUGAGUUACUCUAGGUUAAUUUUUUUAUGGCUAAAUAAAUAGUUAAAAUAUUCAUCUACUUGGUUAUGGAAAGGUGUGAAAAAAGGUGGAUAUGUCGUAUCCAUGAUAAAAUGUUAUGGAACUAUAUACUUCCAUAAUUCGUAAAAUAUAUAAAUGUGAUACGGGUCAUAUAUGUCAAUAUAUGGAUAAACUAGGUACAUGAAAGCCAUUAAAUUAUCCAGCACCCCCAUUUAUUCUUCUAUAUUUUGAUCAUUUGUCAGGUUUUCUUACUGUACACUGUAAGGCAAAAGUCCCAUAGCCCUUGCACUUUAUUAAAGACAAUGAUAUUACAUCAGAAUGUACAACAAGAUAUUAAAGUAUAAAAUACGGCACCUACCUAAGGAGUUAUAUAUAGCCAUCUCAAGAUUUUAUCUUUAAAUCUAGGCUCGAUCAUAUGCUGCAACAGAUACAUAUCGUGAGUAAACCUCCAUGCUGAAAAAGAGGGUCUAGUAUUCCUAAAAAUCUUUCCACUAUACUGCAACCAAAUAUGCCAACAGGCAAUGAAGGCCACUUUGGAGAAAAGAGGAUGACCAAAGCUUGUAUGGGCCUUAGUAGCCACUUCAAACAUGGUGGUUGCAGGUACCCAAUCAAUAUGAAGAUAAUCCCAAAUCAUGUUGAUGAAAUUGCAGUCGAAGAAAAAAUGGUUCCUAUCUUCCCUUGCUCUAGUAUGGCAGAGCACACAAUUUGUAUGAUCAGUCACAUGCCAAUGGAGCCUUUCUAAAAUAUCUCUUGUAUUUACCAUAUCAUUCAACAAAAGUCAUGCAAAUACCCUGACCUUCAUAGUGCAACAACUUCUCCAAAUCCAAGAAAGGGUCACAUUUGACUGCAGAUCUUGAAGUGCCAUUGUAUAGUAAUUGUGGGCAGUAAAAUUCCAGAUUUACAUGCCAGGACCAGACAUGGUCCUUAGUCAUCAAGGUAGAAUCCAUUAUAAAAGGGUGUUGAUUGAGUACGGAUUACAAAAUUGGGAAUUCAAUGUGAGUCUCUCUAGAGAGUGGACGAUAUAAAAGAGUCUCUUUAUGUUCCUCAUUAAUAACUUUCCUCGCUAGCGUCUGUCUCUAGCAAAAGAAAAUAAAUGUGAAAAUAUGUAUUGCAAUGGUUUAUACAAUGAUUCCAACUCCCAGUUGUCGUCCCACAACAUUAUAGAAUUUCCACUAAAACCUUCACUUGGGAAAUUGAUCUAUAUAUUUCAAUAAGCUAGAAGAUAUCCUUCCACUAGAAAGAACCUUACAAUAUAGUCCCUUGAGGCCAUAUUAACCUGACCCAUGACACAUCCUCCUUAUUGAAUAAUUUAUCGACAUGCUUCAUCAACAGAGCUUCAUUCUGGAUUUUUAGAUUCCUAAUUCCAAGAGACCUCCUUAGUUUUUAGGCUUACAAACCAUAUCUCAGGCUGCCAAGGACUGAGCAAAUUCUUACAUCGUGACAUUGAAUCAUUCCCAUUUGUUUGAGAAUGCCAGGGGGAAUGCUCAGGGAAUAUAAAAAUAAAUGGUGAUGGAAGAUAGUAAUUAGCCCGCUUGAGCCAGUAGAGUCGAUCAAGCAAUAUUAUUUAAUAAGGAGGUCUGGUGGUACACAAUCAUGAAAUGUUCCGGUCUUGGUUUGGUGGUGCCCACUGGCAGGCCUAGGUAUGUGAAAGGAAACGUACCCACCCAGUUGUCAGCCAAAAAUUAGAGUGAGACUAGUCACAUUCAAAUCUUCAACAUUAAUAGGGAACAUUGAAGAUUUAUGAUAAUUCACAUGCAACCUUGUUGACUCGGAGAAAAGUAAAAGGACCUCCUUUAGAGCAAGUAAACUCACAUCAACUUAAUUAGGUUUCAGUUAGAAAAUAAUAAGAGGUGGGCAUGCAUCUCAAAGUGAUUUACUACGAUUCCAUGAGCUCCCUUACUAUCAAAUGAAUAUAUGAGCGUGACGUCGAUGACAAUUGAAAACGCAGGUUUACUCCCAGAGGGGGUGAAUGGGAGAGUUUUAGCAAUUCGUCAAACUCUGAUGAAUUUGACGAAGAUCAGAGUGAAGAAAUUGCAACCGAGGCGAAACUAAAUCAUCACAGAGAAGUAAAAUGCAUACUAGAUAGAUAUAGGUGAAGAACAUGCAAUCAUACAAGCAUUCAGGCAUACACAAGAUGAACUGAAGAAAUGAAAGGCAUCACGAUGAAAGUCUUUAGUUCAAAUUCUUCAGAAUGUAGAUCACAAAUUCUUCAACAGCGAAAUACUGAAAGUAAAGGGGUGAGGAAUUUAAAACCAGGUAGGCUCGGUGAAGACACAUCAAUUUGGUAGACCAGUUCCAGAUGUUGUAUCAACUGUAUGUCUGGUUGAGGCGGCUUGAGAUUUAACUCCGAAGACACUUUGUCUUCACCGUAUUUCUCUUGAGCUAAGGUCGUUGUAGACCUUGCCCAAUCACUCAUGGUAAGUCUUCAAGGUUGACUUCCAAAACCUGCACAGACUUGUUCACCAGCAUGCCACAAAUACUAUUGGGUGCUCAGAACAUGACGCCUAACAGUCUGGAAGAUUGGCAGUCUAAAGGUAACAUGCGUCGGAUCACACAGAUCAAUCUCUUUAGCAAUGCUCAAUCACUUUGGCUUUGGUUGGGUUUUUCCUCAGUUAAGUUUUCACAAAGUCAUCGGAGCACGGGUUGCUCUCAAAUGACAGGGGUUGUGGGGGCGGCUAUUUAUAAAUCUCUCUCUUGGAGCAACCAACCAACAAAUGGUUGUGGGGGCGGCUAUUUAUAGCCAGGGGCAACCCUACAUGAAUUGUCAUAAAUGCCCCUUCAGACAUAACCAUUGUCAGGAUAAGGAUCCACUCGACAACUGGCACUAACGCAGCAACAGUCGGAAAUUUGAACUCCAAAUUCGUCGAGGCACACAAUUUCCUCACGGUAGGCAGAUCGCACUGACGAAAUCUUAACUCCUCAGUCAGCCAAUUUCGUCAACAACCAGAAGAACUUUGUCUCUGUCGCUAAUGAACUCGACUGCACUACAAGAGAUUCGAAAGUCUUCAACUCAAAAAAUAGGUAGUGUAUAGUUUUGAGAAUCACUCCGGAAAUGUGAUUAUGUAUCACCUAGACCCCCUUUAACAGUACGGUUUCCUAUGACUCAAAUAAGAAGAAGGAAACUAUGAAAACAAAGUCUUCAAGCUUCCAAUUCUUCACUUCAAUUUUUUAAAAGGACGCACCAAAUUCUUCACUAGAAUUAAUACAUUUUUAGGGGUCGUCUUUCGUCAGUUAAACCAAAUCUUCAGGGACUAUAACUCCUGUGUACACUAACAAACACAUUAGCUCCUUAAGCCAUUUGUCUUCACGCACUAAGGGGGCACUAGAUGCACUUACAACAAUAUAUAACUAUGUUAACCGAAGGUUCUUUAGGUGACAACAUUACGAAUUACUAUGUUUUAUUUCUAUGCAACGGCGCAAAGACAACUAUGUUCUUGAUAAUGCCUCACUUAAAUAUUUGGCAAUAUAACAAACGUAAAUUACAAUCUUUCAUUUUGUUAAGAAUACUAGAGUUUGGCAUUCCAUCUAUGCUAAUCUUUUGGUGUAUAUAUCUAAUGGAGAACUCUUCGAACCGAAGUCAUGCUAGCAAAAACCAUGGUUUGGAGCCUUGGAGUGUGGCUCUAUUUUUUCUUUUAGAAGUUUAUGAUUAAUUUAACGUAAAUGAAUUACCCUGAAAAAGUCUGGAUGUUGGUUAUUCUUUUCAUUUUGUUUUAUUUUGUUUUCACGUAUUCUAAAUGUUGGGAUGCUUAUGGACUAUGGUGAGAAAUAAAGUUUUUGGGGAUAGUCUUGUCAUGUUUUAUCAACACAUGGGAAUGUUAGAUAGGAAAAAAAUUAGUGUUUAAUCAUGUGCUCCCCUCACCCUAGGCCCCAACUAAGUUUCCCAUCCUCCGACCAUAUUCCUCGUAUAGCAGUGACUCAUAGUCCUAGUCCUAGUCCGAUUGCAUGGCAACAGUGAAGCAUCUUAGGGAGGAGUACCUUGGCCCGAGUAGUAUGACCAUCCAAGAGAUAAAACUGAAGCAGCACAUGGGAUUUUUCCGUUGUUAAAUGACGCGUGAAGAGAAAGUUGGGGGGAAAGGAUUUCACCAUUGUUAGAUCACACGAGAAGAGAAAGAAGGGAGAGGGAGAAGAACGGGGAAGGCAUGAGGGCACGGGGCGAGGGGAAGGAAACCUCUCCACCCUGUGUCGUGUAUGAUUUUUUGUUUGAUUUUUAAGCAGUAGGAGAUGAUCCUACAUUGCUAUGUUAAAUGGAAUAUAGUUAUAUGUACAUGACUAGGAGGAAAAUAUUCCCACAAAAAGUUUUAGAAAAAACUAGGAGACGACACACAUAGGACUAAAGGAAUUGUAUAAAUACAAUGGUAUAAUCACUAAGAUCAGUGGACCCUAUAUUUAAGCCAAUCUAGGUCAUCCUUUAUCCUUUGGGCCCAUGCUCGGCUUGAAUUCAUGGCCUUCCUGAAAAUAAAGGUAUAUAUCUAUUUCCUGAUGUUUCAAGCAGCAAUAGUGAAUAUCGCAUAGAAUAGUCUCCGAGAGAGAUUUUUUCCUUGGCCUUUGAAUAACUUCAAUCCAAAAGAAUUUUGAACUCCAAUGGAUGCCCAUCCUAGACAGCAUGACAAGCUCAAUAUGGACAUUUAAAAUCAGGUGUUUAGUAGUUUCCUCUACACUAGCAACACACACAUGUAAUCGUUACCCACAUUGAACUAGUUGUGCCUAAGCAUAUUUCUUGUGUUCAAUCUGUCAUCUAAGCGACAUGAAAACUUUAAGUUUCAUCCAAAUCUUAUACAUGCAAAUUCAACAACAAGGCUCUAUGGAGAAAAUCUUAUACAACUAAUGUUAUGAUUUUCUGUUUCAACUUUAAACUGUAGGAGAGGCUCCUACUUUGCCACAAUAAAUAGAAGAUAUUUAUAUGUACAUGACUAGGAGGAAAAUAAUCCCCACAAAAAAUGUCAGAAGAAACUAGGAGAGAAAACUCUAAGGAUUAAAGGGUUGUACAAAUAAAAUGAUAUAAUUACUAAGAUCAGUGGAAACCCUAUAUUUGGGCCAGGUGAGGUCGUCAGCCUUUCUCCUAUGUUCCCAGAAGGCCUAGCCUGCUUGAAAAUAAAGUACUUAUCUCUUUCCAAAUGUUUCAAGCAGCACUAGUGUAGAUCUCAUAGAAAAGUAUCCCAGAGAAAUUUUAUCUUGCCCUUUGAACAGCUUCAAUCCGAGAGCUAUUCGGAGUCCAAUGGAUGCCCAUCCUAGACCAACAUCACAAGCUGAAUGGACAUGUAAAAAUCAUGUGUUUAGUAGUUUCCUCUCCAGACGGCAGCACACACGAGAAAUCAUUAUCUACAUCGAAGUGGAGGCUCCACAUGACACCCUUAAGUUUCAUCUGAAGCAUAGACUUUCCUAAUCCAGCAAAAAGGCUCUAGAGAGGCAAUCUAACUAUGACAUGGCAAUGCUUGUAAUGAUUUUCUUGCAAUAAUCUUUGCUCCGCAAGUAUAGAUCCAAGAGUCUAGUGAAUCAUCAUUAUGUAAAUGAGUGGGUCCGAUGUUUAUAGCUUGUUCCAACUCAGUGCGACCUUGCGGGAUAGUGGGAGAUUAAAGAUCAAAAUGAGGUUUUGAAUAGUAUAUAUAGAAGGAAUGAACAAAUAUAUCUUCAACCUUUGUGUAAGAAUACAUGCAUGCAAACUGAUCAGAUAUAAUGGUUACAUUCCAUUAGUCAUGCCACAUCGAUACUUCCCUCCCUCUUACAACAACAUAAUUAGAGAUUCCUCUAUAGAUGGGUCUUAAUUUGAUAACAGAACGCCACCAGAAAGAGUCGCAUCGGGGGGAAGCAAGAGUAAUAGUGUUGGUGUAAUAUGUUUCCUAAAGGAUUUUUACCCAUUGAAUGUCAGUGUGGUUAUGAAUUUUAUCCAGAAGUUUCAUGGCUUAGCUAUGAACCUUUCUAUUGGUCGCACUGAGACCUCCAUUUUCCUUUAGGCAACAGACCCUAUCCUAGGCGACAAGCGAAUUUCAUAACUCAUCUUGCUCUGACUUUUUAAUGCACAAGCAAGGCCUAUAGAUCUUAUCAAACAUGUCCACGAACUUAGGCGGAAGCUCGAUGGCACUUGGCACAUAAGUGGCCAUGGAGGAGAGCAACGAGUUGAUUAAGGUGAUGUUUAGUCCAUGCCUGACAUAUGCGUAGUAGUACUCUAAAAACUUCUUUCAAUAUUAUCAACUAGAGGGAUAAGAUCAGUCAUGGGUGGUUUACUAGUCCAAGAGGGAGACCCAAAUAUGUAAAUGGCAUAGCAUCAACGGCACAGCCAAAAACCUAGGUAUAUCAGCUCUCUAAGGAGAAAUUGAUGGGAGCGAGACUUGACUUUUGAAGUUUUAUUGCAAGGCCCGUCGAAAUAGCAAAAUAAGGUAGGAAACUUUUAAGAUUAUCACGUUGACGGGGCAAAGCCGGAAGGAUUUGGAUUGUGUCAUCUGUGUAUUGCACAAAUCAAUACUUUCUGCAUCGAGCGAUGAGAAAUUGCAAGCGUCCUUGGGUGCACUCAUUGUUGAUUAUAUAUUGUAAAAUGACGGCAGCGAGAGCAAACAACAAUGAAAAAGUGGGACACCUCGACGAACACCGCUUUACAAAGAAAGGAUUUUCUAGGCAUUCCAUGUUAUGGUUGUCUUUUAACAGGUGAGGCAAGUUUACACCUGUCAUUGCUCACAGAUAAUACUAAUUAGUGUAGAAAUAUGUCCAUAUGGAUUUGUGUCAGGCACGACGAAGAAAAAUGUAACAAUCCUGAGUAAAGUUUGUCCUUUUUACGUGAAGAAUGAAUGUACUUACGGUGUACAUUAAGUUUUACAAAGAUACAGUUACUCAUAGAAGCUCUAGCUAAUCAAUGUUCAAUAUGUAGUACUAUAACACGCUGGAGUAUGGGUUGUCGAUAGAUCGCGUGAGAACAUAAGGAGGGAAAAAUAUGCGGGAGAAGUGGGAAGGAAUGGGGUGGGGUGGCCGAAGCGUGGCCAUCGCGCCAAAAUUCAACAUCACGACNNNNNNNNNNNNNNNNNNNNNNNNNNNNNNNNNNNNNNNNNNNNNNNNNNNNNNNNNNNNNNNNNNNNNNNNNNNNNNNNNNNNNNNNNNNNNNNNNNNNNNNNNNNNNNNNNNNNNNNNNNNNNNNNNNNNNNNNNNNNNNNNNNNNNNNNNNNNNNNNNNNNNNNNNNNNNNNNNNNNNNNNNNNNNNNNNNNNNNNNNNNNNNNNNNNNNNNNNNNNNNNNNNNNNNNNNNNNNNNNNNNNNNNNNNNNUAUGGUUAUCUUUUAAUUGAGGUGAUGAUGCAAGUUUACUUUUUUCUCUGUUUAGGCUUUAUGGGCAUCGUUGGUUGGUGUACCAAUAUGGCCAUAUCGGUUUGUGUCGUGCAUGGGGAAGAAAAAUCUGAACACGCAGGAGUAAAAUUUGUCUUUUGCCUAUGAAGAAUGAAUAUAGUCAGUGUGUACAUUAAGUUUUACAAAGAUAUGGUUACUUUUUUUUUGAAAAGGAGGUUUACCUCCGGCCUCUGCACCGAUCGAUGCAUACGGCCAUUACUUGCAGAAACUUAACAUGACUGACCUAUAUAGUUCGUCAUAUCAUGCGGGAAGUGAAGAGGGGAGGGGUGAGAGGAGCUGGCGGAGUGGGUGGUGUUGGCAGGAGCGUGGGUGCCACAGCAUGGCAUUACGGCGCCGUGCAUGAGGGGGAGGGAGAGGGGCUGUGGCAGGAGUGGGGGCGUCGCGCCAAAAUGCCACAACGCACAUCCAUGCCAUUUCAAAAUUUCAUCACACCAUAGCUCCUUUUGAUGACAUGUUUUGUCACAACUUGUUAGCCCUUUUGAUGUAGAAAGAAGAUCCGAACAUUUCAUCAAGCUUGUGUCAGGAAUGAACAAGCACCACCAUCUGAUGAAUUGUAAACCCACGAAAUUUCAUACAAAAUGUGCAAUAUGUAUAUGUUGUUAAGAAAACAAGCAAAGGGACUCAGUAAGACUACUUGCUACUGGCUGGCUGGCUUGCAAUCAACAAGAAUGGGCUAUCAUGUGGUCACAUUUGGGUGGGUAAAUUUUUCCCUGAAAGUCUAUCUUGACACAGUGGGAGAGCCUAGAGCUUGGAUGAUGUGGUUGAAUUCUUGUAUCUGAGUUACCUCCUGUGUUAUGUCCUACAUAGGCCUACAGCUACAGAGUCUAUGAACUUAAUGUACACCCUGAGGCAGAGAUACAGAUGGUGCAGCAUGAGCCUGCUCAGAAUGUAGAACCUAAAUCCAAAGCAGAGGAGACCAGUUGCCAAUGAAAGAAGAACAAGGCAGAGUGCUAAGGCACAAACAGUUGCUGCAACAAGAACAAGACAUGGCCUCACAAGUUUGAGCUAUAUAUCAUCUUCAGGUCUGAGUACAAACACAAGCACAAUCACAACAUUGUCUGAUUUAAAAGUACAUGGAGGCCCUGGUUGGUCUCCAUUUCUCUCUAACAUUUUCUGUCGAACAAGACUUACAUUUGCAGAGUUUAUGAGUUUCUACUACAACGAAUGAGUUAAGUUAAUGGGCAACGAAUAAUGGAUCAAAUCAGGCCACACGAAAUGUACAGAAUCACUCAAGAACUGCACAGGCAACGAAAAUAUGUUUGGCACAGUCACAUAUAUAUCUUCUUCUGCUUUGGUCGGUCCCUCUGCAACUUCUCACCGGAUGUGGCUUCUCGAAAAAGAAAAGAGCCCAGCAUCACGAGC
rnacentral:lncRNA from 1 species